UUCAGGAACCGUAUCAUAAGUGGUGCCUUCUUCCGCGAACAGUUGCGGUGCUCGCUGUCGGCGUCAGACUCCCAAGCAAGCGAGGAUGACCACGGCGCGGAGGAGGACGAGGACCCGAGCUCGAUUCCGACCACGACGUACCGCACAAGGUCCCUGCUUCCUUCCUGACGGCAAUGGAUCCCUUCCUUGCAGGUAACACUUCCCCUCUCCCUCCCACUGACUUGCUAAUCUAAUUUAGCCACAGGCUGCUACAAAUCACAUUGCUUGCUGCAUCUUACUUUGUUGCCUUGGAUUUUGUUGCCUGGGUUGCUGACGAGAUCCAUCUGCCCGGCUGGAGCCUGUUAUUCUCUUGAUGGAAGUCAGCCCAAUUGUAGAAGCUGAAGGUGUUACCAUUCAUGGACAUGGAACAGAAGCUGCCCAGAUAUUGUGACAACAAAUGGAGGUUAAAUCGGGAAGCGGAAGCCAGGUGAUACCUUGAUCACUAUCUUUACUACUCUCAUGCAUAUUCUACUGUCGAAAUCUAGGUGCAGUAUUUCCACAUUGGAAAACUUUGUAUGGUCCAUGGACUGAAAGUUUAUUUGUUUUGGGGAACUCUCAUUGGUAGGAUUUUGCACUAGGACGCUUUUUAUGGGCAUAUACAACAUUAUUUUUUACUGAUGUCUGAUUAUUGUAGCUUCAAACUAUUCCCUGUGAUGUUUUUCUUGAACUAUAUUCACUGUGGUGUUUGUACUACUGCAUUUAUUCCUUAGAACAUUUGACGGCCCAGUAAUAAUAGUGCUAAUACAAACUGUUUUACAUAAGGUCUCAUACAUGGCAGAACCUGUUGUUGGGACUGGUUUGUUUCGUGUAGUAUGUCAACUGUAGUAUAUGCAGUUUGUUUGUUCUGAGGAAUUCUAUAUGCCGAUGAACUUUUCUUCUGUUCCCAUGCCAGGGAUAGUCAAACGGUCUUGGCUAUAUGGUUCGCUUGAAUUCUUGCAUGAUGUGAUUAAGGUUCUUUACUGACAAUAUAUGAAGGUUUUUGAGACUCGUAUAUAUAUAUAUAUAUAUCAGGAUUCUUGGCUGUCCACUUACCCAGAAACUUUGAGGCGGGUAUUUGGUUGAAUAUGCUUAGUGUAUUCUUUCCUAAAUUUUGCUACUAAACUGUAUUUAGAAAUAACUCAUACAUUACUAAUACCGUACUUGAAUGGUUAAUGGGCUCACUACACGUUAAUUCUACUUUUGUUUCAUUGAUAUUUUAUUUAUCUUCACGCACUACCAAUAUACUACAACUAUCUGGCAAACUUCACGAGUGAUUACAGAUUGAAGGUUAUUACCCGGCAAGCAAAUCCACCUUUGCAGGUAUGCAUUUAGCCCAUUCUGAAGUGACUUGCAAUCUCUGCUUGCUGAAUUCUUGGUGUUAAUUCUACUUCUGUUUGAGCAUUCUGUGUUUUAUUUGAAGCUUUGAAUUAAUCCAGCAUUAGCUUUACUAAUAAUAAAUUUGUUUGCCGGGUGCAGUUUGAAUAAGCUUGCGACUGGAGUGUAAAAUAAAUUACCUACACAAAAGAAGGGUUAAAUAAGGAUGAAGGUUCGGGUAUUUGGGUUGCUGAUACGCUGAAACUUCUGUUUUUAUUACUUUAUGAAGGUUCAAGUAUUUGGGUGGUUCCUCUACCUCUCGCGGAUCUCUUGUGCUCUGCUCGUUUCUUACUCUCUUUCUUGUUUCUCUGCUUGAUUUGCAGUUCAGACGGUGCCGUGUCGUUGGGGUUGCCUUGCCGGUCGACCGGAGAUGGAGCUUUAUCGUUUGAUCCUCUGCCCUCCCCGUCGAGGUUGCUCCUCACCAUCGCAGGCACGGUCUGGUCGGGGCCACGACGACGAGAGGAGCAGCAGAGGAUAACUUUUCCCCACGGAUCCUUCUCGUCUUCCACGUGAUUCGAGUCGCCUCUCUCCGUCAGAUCCUGCACGGACCUCCCUGUCAGGCCCCUCUUGCCGCCUGUCGACAUGACCUUCGAUCUUGUUGUGUUGAUCAUGGGGACCAUUCCAUUUGAAGAGGCUCAUGCUGCCCGGAUUUUGUUAAGCAAGCCAUCUAUGUCCCAAAGUUGAGGACCGUUUGGAGAAGAGGCCACCCAGACAAUUUAAACAGAUGCAGGAUAUGAUUAGGCGCACAUAUACAAGUAUCUUUAUGACGACACCUGCACCAGUUUUCAUCGUUGUUGUUCUUGCCUGUUGCCUCCCCCCCUAUCGCUUCGCUAGAUCUUACUAGGUUUGAUUAUGUCUUGGCUUGGACAGCGGCGCAAGUAGAGAGAGGAUGUUUGCCUACUACUACUCCCAUCAUCCUGGCUUACAGGUCGCCUUCGUCACAGAGCCGGACGGGGUAUCCCGCCAUGCCUCACGUAGCUUGCAGGCCAGGCUGCUGCCAAAUUAGCCUUCCCUAGCUAUAAGGGUUUCGGUACUUUCAGCUCCUGCGGGUCAUCAUAUUGUUAAUGUGUCAAAGUAAAGAGAAAAAUGAUGCAUUGAAUUACUAAUGAAGUGGUUUGGAUGAGAUCAGAAACCUCUCACUUUUAAUGUUGGAGAUCGUUAUGAACCGAGUGUUUUAGAGAAAUUCAGUUCACAUGAAGCAAGAGAAAGGCAUGUAGCAUACAUUGAGUGAUUAUUAACCCAUUGUGAUACUGAGAAAUUGAUAAAGGAUAUAUUUAUUAACUUGAAUGUUUGACGUGGACUGGGAGAAUCUCAGUUGUGAUAUGUACAUAAAUCUUCUAUUUUUUUCAUGGUACUGAAUGUCCUGAUGUAUACACAUCUAUUCUGUUUA